UACGUAGGGUGCAACGUUAAUCGGAAUUACUGGGCGUAAAGCGUGCGCAGGCGGUUAUGUAAGACAGGUGUGAAAUCCCCGGGCUUAACCUGGGAACUGCAUUUGUGACUGCAUAGCUAGAGUACGGUAGAGGGGGAUGGAAUUCCGCGUGUAGGCAGUGAAAUGCGUAGAUAUGACGGAGGAACACCGAUGGCGAAGGCAUCCC
rnacentral:rRNA from 1 species